rnacentral:lncRNA from 1 species
ACACUUUAGUGUUCAGCCCCUUAACCUAAGGAGGAGCUACACAAAUGAAGAACUGUGGAACUGACCUCAGAUGCUCUCUCGUUGGAAAUUGGCACGCAAACCACAACCACGAUGGCGGCUUCUGAGAGGUGGAGGAGAGGGGUGUGGCAAAGCAGCAAGGAAGGGGGUCUGGGGUCCAGCCCAGCUGGGACAGUGAAGGUUCCCUGUUCAAGGCUCAGAUACCAAGUAUGCUGGGAACAACCAAGACCCAGGGGGCCGCUUGCUGCUAGCUUAUUGUUUGCGGAGUCUUAAAUGUGCAUAACAGCUGUGCACAGUGUUGCAGAGCCAUGCACGAAGCGGACAUUGCAACCAACCAGGACUGGGAAUUCCAUCUUCUCUGCUUUCAAGAGCUCAGGCCUGAUUGGUGGUCCUACCUCCCAACUAUCUCUGGAAUCUCUGCUUUUCUCCUAAUUCCAUUGCUGCAAAGAGUCUAGAUGAAGACUUUGAACUUUUGCCUGGACACCUCCAGUAUCCUGAUGAAGUCGUUCCCUUCAGCCAGGCUCUGUUUCCUCUGAGCCUGGGUGGAAACAAACAGAGCCUGGUCACCCAAGGACAUGAGUAUUGGGAACACGGACUCGGAUGAAAAUCCCAAAAAAAGCCAAAGUCCUCCCAGCGGCCCUCAUCCUCAGUGAUCAGGCCCCGUUGCUGCUCGGACCUCUCUCUCUCUGCUCCGGCCCCGCUGCCUGCUCUGCUGCACUGGGCUUGUGGGGCUGGGGUGGCUCUGGACACUGGGAUAUUUUUAUUUAACUCCCAAGGCAAUUCUAACGUGCAGCCGGGUGGACAGCCAGGAUCUCCAGGAGAAGUUCACGUCCUUCUCUGCCGCAUCUCUAACCCGGCCUGGGUCUAUGGCCCCGGCUCCUCUCCCUCCCCUCCCCAUCUUCUUCUCUCCUCCCAGCCCCCCACGCUUAAAUCACAUCAAACCUCAGCCCGUUCUCUUUUCACCCCUCUGUGCCUUUGCACUUGCAAUCGUUCCUGCAGAAAAGAACCUCUGUUAAUGUUUUGGGAUUUCCUCCAGUCUGGGCAGCCUCCCGUCAUCUCCUCAGUGGACACGUAUCGACCCCUUCUCGUUCACUGUCUUACUUCAUCUUUCAGCUCCACAGAGCAGACUGUGUUUAUCUCUAAUAGUCCUCGUUCUGCUGCAUUUUAAUCAUUUGUUUACCGGCUCUAAAUGUGGAAAUACAGGGGCUUUGGUGCCAGCAGACCUGGGUUGGAAGGCUAAGUUCCGCCACUUAUAUUCUGUGGCUUUGCGUAAGUCACAAAACAGCUCUGAGCCUCAGUUUCCUCAUCUGUAAACCACAAGCCUUCACUCAACCCAUUUUUUAUUGAGCACCUACUAAGUACCAUGCAGGUCAGACCCAUCUUCUCAUUUAACCUUUGCAGCACCCCUGUGAGCUAACACAUGGCAUUUAUGAAUCCAAGCUGGGGAGGGGACCAGCUCCAGCCUGGCUGGCCAUAGACCUUGGCCAAAUUGCUCAGGACCACCCCACCCCGCCUGCCAACUGCUGUCCCCAACCCUGGAUGUCCCAUGUUUGUCUCUGGUUCUGUGGGUGAGACACCCACUCCAUGGGGAUGUUGUGAGGGUCGUGUUCAAUGUAGGCAUGUGUGACUUAACACUGGGAAAUGUUCUGAGACAUUUUUCAUUGUGUGGACAUCACAGAGGGUACCUACACAAACCCAGGUGGUACAGCCUGUGGUAUAUGGUGUAUGCCUGUGGACCCAGGCUACAAACCUGUACAGCACGUUAGUGUACUGCAGUACUGAAUGCUGCAGGCAAUUGGAACAUGGUAGUAGGUAUUCAUGUUUCUUUUCUUUUCUUUUUCCUUUUUUUUUUCUUUUUUUUGAGAUGGAGUCUUGCUCUGUCGCCCAGGCUGGAGUGCAGUGGCACAAUCUCGGCUCACUGCGACCUCCACCUCCCAGGUUCAAGCAAUUCUCCUGCCUCAGCCCCCCAAGUAACUGGGACUACAGGCGUCAGCCACCACACCCAGUUACUUUUUGUAUUUUUAGUAGAGACUGGAUUUCACCAUGUUGGCCAGGAUGGUCUCGAUCUCUUGACCUCGUGAUCCACCUUCAUCGGCCUCCCAAAGUGCUGGGAUUACAGGCGUGGGCCACCAUGCCUGGUAUUCAUGUUUCUAAACACAUCUAAACAUAGAAAAGGUUGGGUCAAAAUACAGUAUUAUAAUCUUAUGGAGCCACCAUCAUCAAUGCGGUCUGUGCUGACGCAAAUGUUGUUACAUGGUGCAUGACAGUAGCACCUGCCGAGCACUGAGAACAAGGAAGCCCUCAGUGCACGUUAGCUGUCAUUGUCAUCACUGUCUUCUCAUCACCUGCCAGGUGGAGAAAUGGCUCUUACACCUUCAGUCUUGUAGGAUUGUUCAGAAGAUUAAAUGAGAUAAUAGAGUAAACUGCAGCAUACAAUAAAUUUCUUAAUAAAUGUCCCUUUCCUUCCUUCCUUUUCCCCUGACCCCACUACCUCCUUUAGGGACUCUGUUCCUUGGACAAUGAUUGCUUCCUUUAUGCUCUGGAGUCCAGCAGAGACUGACACACAGUUGGGGCUAAACACGUCUGAGGGUGAUGAAACUCCCAUUUCUGACGCCGUCAACUUGUUUUCUGUAAUGUUAGCCCUGCCAUAUUCCAGCUCGACAGAGCUUGGGCAGCCCGAGGUGGUGACUGUAUUUGGCCAUCAGCCAUGUCCCUUGCAGGGCCAGUCUCUGAGGUGCCAUGAGACCUUCUGUGCCUGGCAAGCCGGGGCACUUCGGAGAAUGGCAGCUGCCUGGUUUCUCAGGGGAGCAACUACAUUCCUAAGUCGCUUGGGGAUCGCUUGACUUCCCUCAUUCAUUCACCCAUCCUUCCAUCCAUCUAUUCCUUCAUCCAGCAAAUUGGACCCCUUCCGUGUGCCAGACACUGUUCUGAGCAGAAGCACCUGCCCUUGAGGAAGUGACACUCCAGUGGGGAGAGACAAGUAAGCUCACAAAGAUCUAUCUGCAAAAUCAAAUUCCAGGUAGUGAUCAGUGCCACGAACAAAAAUAAAAAUGAAUAAAGAGAUGUAAAAUGAUUUCCUUCCCCAAGGGCAGAGGAUUCUUUCUAGCAGGUUAUUUGGAAAAGUUCCCUCUGAAGAGGUGACAUUUGAUCAUUGUUAAAGUCACAUGCAUCAUUGUGAACAUUUCACAAAACACAGAAGAACCUAAUGCUUUCGCACAAACCAUCAUCUAGAAAUCACACCAUCUCAACAUCUUGUCGUUUAAAAAUUGAUAUAUAAUAAUGGUACAUAUUUCUGGGGUCCCUGUGAUAUUUUGAUACAUGCAGACAAUGUGUAAUGAUCAAAUCAGGGUAAUUAGGCUAUCCAUCACUUCAAACAUGUAUCAUUUCUUUGCCAAUGCCUUGUCUUUUGUCGUCUUAAAGUACAGAUUUGCAUCAUGCUUUUUAAAAUUUAACAUUACACUAUAAUUAUUUUGUAGCUGUGUUUAUGUUUUUCUGUUUUCAAGUAUCAAUAUAUAGUAUGGAUUUUUAAAAAAUUGGUACUGUAAAUGUACAUGAAGUUUUUCUGUCUUUACAAAAGAAGUGCAUAUUGUUGUAUGAAUUCUAGAAAAUCAAGAUAAGGAAGAAAAUUAAAAUCCUUCAUAAUCCUA